AUUGAACGCUGGCGGCAUGCCUUACACAUGCGAGUCGAACGGCAGCGGGGACUUCGGUCCGCCGGCGAGUGGCGAACGGGUGAGUAAUGUAUCGGAACGUACCUUUCAGUGGGGGAUAACGUAGCGAAAGUUACGCUAAUACCGCAUAUUCUGUGAGCAGGAAAGCAGGGGAUCGCAAGACCUUGCGCUGAUGGAGCGGCCGAUAUCAGAUUAGCUAGUUGGUGGGGUAAAGGCCUACCAAGGCUACGAUCUGUAGCGGGUCUGAGAGGAUGAUCCGCCACACUGGGACUGAGGCACGGCCCAGACUCCUACGGGAGGCAGCAGUGGGGAAUUUUGGACAAUGGGGGCAACCCUGAUCCAGCCAUGCCGCGUGAGUGAAGAAGGCCUUCGGGUUGUAAAGCUCUUUCGGACGGGAAGAAAACGCAUUGGCUAAUAUCCAGUGUGGAUGACGGUACCGUAAUAAGAAGCACCGGCUAACUACGUGCCAGCCGCCCGCCGCCG
rnacentral:rRNA from 1 species